AGCGGCGGGUUUCCGGAGUUUGCCCCACUGCGUACCACGUGAUGUGACGUCAUCGUGACGUUGUGUUUCUAAAAAUAGCUCGCGCGCGGUACCCCAUUGGUCUGCUUUUGGAGAGACUGGCUGAUUGACAUUGAAGAAGAGGAGGAUGGUCCACCCUCUCUCUCGAUGAUGUUCACCUCUGGAGCCUCUGCCAUCCCUCCACUUGGCUUUUCCUGCCAGCCUGAAAUCCAGUUUCUGCAUGACACCAAGACAAUUUACCCAGAAGCCAAUACUAGUGUUGUUGUCCUGUUGUAUCUGUCGCUGCACUCCUCCUACAAGGCUUUUAGAAUAUACAUGAUGGAGGGAAUUUUGCAAGCUUCGACCUUUGGAGUUUCUUAAAUGAUCACGAAUGUGACAGUGAAAGGUUACGCUGUAAGGUGAUGACGGGUUUGCAUGUUUGUCCAGUUGUUAAUGUUUUACUUAAUUUUAAGGUAAAACGUGGUUUUACAAGUCUGAAAAGUGCACCAGGGUUUAAAAAAUACGGUUCAUAAGGUUUUACUAAAAGCCUUUAGCUGGUUCUGAGGAUAAAAUAUCAGAAGACUGUGCCAGAUGAUUUCAGGUUCUGUCAUCCAAAACUAUCAUACGUUCUCUUCUAGGUUUGUCUUUAUGGCAAUAAAGAAAAUACUCAAAAUUUAAGUUUGAUACAUAAAAAAAUAUUAAACUGAAUAUAUCAUGGCCACUAAUGACAAAGAAAAAAAAUAAAAAACAGAUAUUUUUGCCAAUUGGAGGGAGAAGUUUGACACAAGGAGAGGGCCAAAAUAAAAAUGUGUUUUUUAAAAGAAAGGGAAUGAAUAAAUUUUGUCCCACUUCAUUAUUGUGUCCCACUUGUUGAUUCUUCACGAAAACAUGCAGUUUUAUAUCUUUAUGUUUGAAGCCUGAAAUUUGGCCAAAGGUUGAAAAGUUCAAGGGGGCUAAAUACUUUCAGAAGGUUCUGUAUGUGAGAUCAUGUUUGUCCAGACAACUCCUGCAUGACAGCAGCUCCAGAUGGAAGGGAGAGGUUGAAACUGAGUCUGUUUGUUUACACUGAACCUACUAGUAAGAAGGCCUUCCCAUAUAACUCACAGUAUAAGAUAUGUAAACUAUAUAGAAUUUCCCAUUAGAGUCAAUAAAGAAGCUGUUUUAUAUUA